CCCUGGAGCAGAGAACAGAGACCCACCGUGGCCCUGACAGGUUCUGACCCCUGGACCAGAGAACAGAGACCCACCGUGGCCCUGACAGGUUCUGACCAGAGAACAGACACCCACCGUGGCCCUGACAGGUUCUGACCAGAGAACAGAGACCCACCGUGGCCCUGACAGGUUCUGACCCCUGGACCAGAGAACAGAGACCCACCGUGGUCCUGACAGGUUCUGACCCCUGGACCAGAGAACAGAGACCCACCGUGGUCCUGACAGGUUCUGACCCCUGGACCAGAGAACAGACAGGUUCUGACCCCUGGACCAGAGAACAGACAGGUUCUGACCCCUGGACCAGAGAACCGAGACCCACCGUGGCCCUGACAGGUUCUGACCCCUGGACCAGAGAACAGAGACCCACCGUGGCCCUGACAGGUUCUGACCCCUGGACCAGAGAACAGACCCACCGUGGCCCUGACAUGUUCUGACCAGAGAACAGAGACCCACCGUGGUCCUGACAGGUUCUGACCCCUGGACCAGAGAACAGACCCACCGUGGCCCUGACAUGUUCUGACCAGAGAACAGAGACCCACCGUGGUCCUGACAGGUUCUGACCCCUGGACCAGAGAACAGAGACACCCACCGUGAAAGCAGCAUCUAUGUGGGGGAAGUUAUCAGAACCCUGGUCAGGAUAGUGAACGGUGGACCAGUCAAUCUUCAUCAUUUCAUUUGCAUCUCCAUAUAUCUUCUCUUCUCAUCAAUAUAGAUGAUUAAUAUGUUGAAGUGUAUAUCAAGAUAUUGUUUAUUUCACUUUUCUUUAAUCCUGCUUCCAUCUCAGCACAGCACAUCUGAUUCCAUCAAUCGUCCAAUCAUCAAGCCCUUUUGAUAAAUUGAUUGAGGUGUGUUAGGCUGGCACAAAACCCUGCACACCCUGUGGUUUUCCAGGACUGGGAUUGAAGGACACUGAUGUGUUUGACUUUGUGUUUGUCAGAAUCAGAGACUGGGGAUGAAUUUUAAUUUAGUUUCUCAGAUUUUUAUAAAGUGCUUUUUUUUACUGAGCGGCUGAUGUUUUGUAUUUAGUCAGUUUUUUUGGUUUUACUGUGUUAUUAUUGACAUUAUUUAACAGAUCAUGAGUUUGUAAAUAUUGAUAAAAGACAGAGAGGAUGAUGUUAUUAUCGUUGGUGGUAAUAUAAUCAGUAUAUAGCACCUUCAUAAGCAGUGCAUGAGGGCUUCAUAGGUAAAAGCAUCAUCUUGAUUCUAGUCCAAUAUGACAUGUACUGACCCAAUCACAACAACCCCAUACCCUUCCAGCAUGUCUUUGAAACUAUCCGACCCAUACAGACCCGUUAAUCUGGGCUAUGGAUCCGUCCACAGGGAUGACGUAGGCCCCUAAGUAUUGCUUAUGAAGGGGACAAGUAGCCUCUAAGUAGGUUUCCUGCUCUAACUCUAAAGAUAUGAUCAUACAUGGACUGUACAUCAGUGGAGUUGUUGCUAAUAGCAACAUGUCAAAAGUAUACCUAAUUGACAUCCCAAAUGGUACCCUAUCCCCUAUAUAGUACACUUCAUUUGACCAGAGUCCUAUGGGUUGAAGCCUAUAUAGUGCACGUCAUUUGACCAGAGCCCUAUGGGUUGAACCCUAUAUAGUGCACUUCAUUUGACCAGAGCUCUAUGGGUUGAACCCUAUAUAGUGCACUUCAUUUGAUCAGAGCCCUAUAUAGUGCACUUCAUUUGACCAGAGCCCUAUAUAGUGCACUUCAUUUGACCAGAGCCCUAUAUAGUGCACUUCAUUUGACCAGAGCCCUAUGGGUUGAACCCUAUAUAGUGCACUUAAUUUGACCAGAGCCCUAUAUAGUGCCCUUCAUUUGACCAGAGCUCUAUGGGUUGAACCCUAUAUAGUGCCCUUCAUUUGACCAGAGCCCUAUAUAGUGCACUUCAUUUGAUCUGAGCCCUAUAUAGUGCACUUCAUUUGACCAGAGCUCUGGGUUGAACCCUAUAUAGUGCUCUUCAUUUGACCAGAGCCCUAUGGGUUGAACCCUAUCCCUUAAGUAGUGCACUAUACAGGGGAAAGCAUGCCAUUUGUGACACAGAGGGACGAUUUGAAUGGAUCUGUUCCAGGGUUUGUUGUGUGUGUGUGUGUAGUGUUUGAAACUAAAACCUGCUAACCAACCAUGUAAUGAACCAUGUAAUGUCUAACAGUAUGAUGGAGGUCACAUGGUUAAAUAAAGCGGAUGUUUGGAACAUG